rnacentral:rRNA from 1 species
CCUACGGGAGGCAGCAGUGGGGAAUAUUGCGCAAUGGGCGAAAGCCUGACGCAGCGACGCCGCGUGGGGGAGGAAGGCCCUAGGGUUGUAAACCCCUGUCAGGUGGGACGAACACCUUGUCGGAUAAUACCCGACAGGACUGACGGUACCACCAGAGGAAGCUCCGGCUAACUCCGUGCCAGCAGCCGCGGUAAUACGGAGGGAGCGAGCGUUGUUCGGAAUUACUGGGCGUAAAGGGCGCGUAGGCGGCCUCGUAAGUCGGGUGUGAAAUGCCGGGGCUCAACCCCGUGCACUGCACCCGAUACUGCAUGGCUAGAGAAAGGUAGAGGCGAGCGGAAUUCCCGGUGUAGCGGUGGAAUGCGUAGAUAUCGGGAAGAACAUCUGCGGCGAAGGCGGCUCGCUGGGCCUUUUCUGACGCUGAAGCGCGAAAGCGUGGGGAGCAAACAGGAUUAGAUACCCUGGUAGUCCACGCCGUAAACGCUGGGCACUAGGUGUCGGGAGGCUUGGCCCUUUCGGUGCCGCAGCUAACGCAUUAAGUGCCCCGCCUGGGGAUUACGGCCGCAAGGCUGAAACUCAAAGGAAUUGACGG